AUUGAACGCUGGCGGCAGGCCUAACACAUGCAAGUCGAACGAGGGGCGGACGUGUGAGUAAUGUCUGGGAAAGUGCCAGAGGGAGGGGGAACACCACUGGAAACGGUCGAAAAUACCGCAUAACAUCAGGUGUGCACAGAUGGGAUUAGCUUGGUGGGGGGGUAACGGCUCACAAAGGCGACGAUCCCUAGCUGGUCUGAGAGGAUGACCAGCCACACUGGAACUGAGACACGGUCCAGACUCCUACGGGAGGCAGCAGUGGGGAAUAUUGCACAAUGGGCGCAAGCCUGAUGCAGCCAUGCCGCGUGUAUGAAGAAGGCCUUCGGGUUGUAAAGUACUUUCAGCGGGGAGGCGUUACCCGCAGAAGAAGCACCGGCUAACUCCGUGCCAGCAGCCGCGGUAAUUC
rnacentral:rRNA from 1 species